rnacentral:rRNA from 1 species
CGACCUCAGCUCAGGCGAGAAAACCUGUUGAUUUUAAGCAUAUAAUUAAGCAAAGCAAAAGAAACUUACAAGGAUUCCCCUAGUAGUGAUGAGUGAACCGGGAAGAUCCUAGCAUGAAAAUUGGGCGAUAGAGUCGCCUGAAUUGUAGUCUGUAGAAGCGUCCUCAGCAGUGGACCUGGGCCAAGUCCCUUGGAAGGGGGUGCCUGAGAGGGUGAUAGCCCUGUCGGGCUAGGACCCAGCCGCAUCACGAGGCGUUGUUGACAAGUCGGGUUGUUUGGGAAUGUAGCCCUAAUUGGGUGGUAAAUUCUAUCCAAGGCUAAAUACAAGUGACAGACCGAUAGCGAACAAGUACGAUGAGGGAAAGAUGAAAAGGACUUUGAAAAGAGAGUUAAAGAGUGCUUGAAAUUGCUGGGAGGGAAGUAGAUGGAGGCUGUCGAUGCAUCUCGGUCAGAAGUGGAAUGGCUCAGGCUGAUCCGCCACUUGACUUGAGGUGCAAACCAACAUAGGCUGCUACAUCAUCACAAGUGUGGGUGGAUUACUACCUAUUGGUUUGCCAUUGUGAUGGUCGAGGAAUGAAGCAUGCACCCUUGUGGCGGGCCGUGUGCACCUACAUGCUCGUGGUGUUGGUUGGCAGGCUUUCCAUUUGACCCGUCUUGAAACACGGACCAAGGAGUCUAACAUGUGUGUGAGUUGGUGGGGUUGAAAACCUGCGAGGAACAAGGAAGCUGACGGGCGAGAUCUCCUUUUGGGGGGGUGCAUCAUCGACCGACCUUGAGCUUAUGCGAAGGGCUCGAGUGUGAGCACACCUGUUGGGACUCGAAAUAUGGUAAACUAUGCAUGAGCAUAGCAAAGCCAAAGGAAACUAUGGUGGAGGGGUGAAAGAAUAAUCGAACCAUCUAAUAGUUAGUUUCCUUCGAAGUUUCCCUCAGGAUAGCUGGAGAUCACACGCGAGUUUUAUCACGUGAAGCAAAUGAUUAGAGGCAUCGGGGGCAUAAAACCCUCGACCUAUUCUCAAACUUUAAAUAGGUAAGAGGGUGUGGUUGCUCCAUUGAACCAUGUCGUGGAGUUAAGAGCUCCAAGUGGGCCAUUUUUGGUAAGCAGAACUGGCGAUGCGAGAUGAACUGAAAGUUGAGUUACGGUGCCGAAUUGCGAACCUAGAUCCCACAAAGGGUUUUUGUUGAUUAAGACAUCAGGAUGGUGGUCAUGGAAGUCAAAAUCUGCUAAGGAGUGUGUAAGAACUCACCUACUGAAUCAACUAGCCCCGAAAAUGGAUGGCACUGAAGUGCGUGACCUAUACUCGACCGUUGGAUCAAUUCCCUAGCUCCAAUGAGUAGGAGUAUGUGAGGGUCAUUGAGAAACCUCGGGCAUGAGCUUGGGUGGAUCAGCCCCCGGUGUAGAUCUUGGUGGUAGUAGCAAAUAUUCAAAUGAGAACUUUGAAGACUGAAGUGGGGAAAGGUUCCAUGUGAAAAACACUUGGACAUGGUUUAGUCGAUCCUAAGAGAUGGGGAAGCCUUGUAUCAAGGGUGCACUCUGUACGAGCAUCGAAAGGGAAUCAGGUUAAUAUUCCCAAAUAGGGACAUGCUGGCGGGCAAAAACGUUAGGAAAUCCAGAGACAUCAUCGAGGGCCCUGGGAAGAGUUAUCUUUUCUUUUUAACAGCUUGCCCACCCUGGAAUCAAUUCAACCGGAGAUAGGAUCUAGCAGCUGGAAGAGAACCACACAUCUUUCGGUUUCUGGUGCGCCCUCAGUGGCCCUUGAAAAUUUGGAGGACCAAGCAUCGUUCAUGCCCGGUCGUACUGAUAACUGCAUCAGGUCUCCAAGGUGAACAACCUCUGGUCAAUAGAACAAUGUAGGUAAGGGAAGUUCACAAAAUGAAUCCGUACCUUCGGAAAAAGGAUUGUCUCUGAGGACUGGGCCUAGGGGUCUGCACCCUCAACUCGUGGGCUAUUGGUAGUCUGCCUGAGCUGCUCUCGCGGAAAGGGUGGGCAGUCGCGUGCCAAUUGGGCUACGGGCGUAGAAUGCCCCCUGCUGGGGGCUUUUCCCUAGGUGUCGAACAGUCGAAUUAGAACUAGUACGGACAAGGGGAAUCUGACUAUUUAAUUAAAACUAAGCAUUGCGAUGGUCCCUGCGGAUGCUAACACAAUGUGACUUCUGCCCAUUGCUCUGAAUGUCAAAGUGAAGAAAUUCAACAAAGCGCAGGUAAACGGUGGGAGUAACUAUGACUCUCUUAAGGUAGCCAAAUGCCUCAUCAUCUAAUUAGUGAUGCGCAUGAAUGGAUUAACGAGAUUCCCACUGUCCCUAUCUACUAUCUAGCAAAACCACAGCCAAGGGAAUGGGCUUGGCAGAAUCAACAGGGAAAGAAGACCCUGUUGAGCUUGACUCUAGUCCGACUUUGUGAAAUGACUUGAGAGGUGUAGAAUAAGUAGGAGUUGUUUUCAGCGCAAGUGAAAUACCACUACUUUUAACGUUAUUUUACUUAUUUCGUGGGGCAGAGAUGGGGCAUUGCCUCUGUUUUUGGCCUUAAGGCAUGUUUCAGCAGGUCGAUCCUAGCGGAAGACAUUCUCAGGUGGGGAGUUUGGCUGGGGUGGCACAUCUGUUAAAAGAUAACGUAGGUGUCCUAAGAUGAGCUCAAAGAGAACAGAAAUAUCGUGUGGAAAAAAAAGGUAAAAGCUCAUUUUAUUUUGAUUUUUAGUAUGAAUAUAAACCAUGAAAGCGUGGCCUAUCGAUCCUUUAGAUUUUUGGAAUUUGAAGGUAGAGGUUUCAGAAAAGUUACCAGAGGAAUAACUGGCUUGUGGAAACCAAGCGUUCAUAGUGACGUUUCUUUUUGAUCCUUUGAUGUCGGCUCUUCAUAUCAUUGUGAAGUAGAAUUCACCAAGUGUUGGAUUGUUCACCCACCAAUGGGGAACAUGAGCUCUGUUUAGACCGUCGUGAGAUAGGUUAGUUUUACCCUACUGAUGAACCACACCGCAAUAGUAAUUCAACUUAGUACGAGAGGAAUCUUUGAUUCACACAAUUGAUCAUCGUGCUUGGUUGAAAAGCUAGUGGUGUAAAGCUACCGUGUGUGAGAUUAUGACUUAAUGCCUCUAAGUCGGAAUCCAUGCUAGAAGUGGUGCAUGCCAAUCUUUGGUUGUAUCUUGACCCACAGUAGGGGCAUCGCUUUGUCGCUCCCAGGGGCCCAUGUCAUUUGCAAACCGUGACCGUGAAGCAUCUCAGUCGGGGCAGAUUUGAAGUUCAAUUCCAAACUGUCAUUGAGAAGAAUCCUUUAUAGAUGAAUUAAAUAUGCGACGGGGUAUUGUAAGUGGCAGAGUGGCCUUGCUUCCACAAUCCACUGAGAUUCAAC